UACAGAGGUCUCAAGCGUUGUUCGGAUUCAUUGGGCGUAAAGGGUGCGUAGGCGGCGCGGUAAGUCGGGUGUGAAAUCUCGGAGCUUAACUCCGAAACUGCAUUCGAUACUGCCGUGCUUGAGGACUGGAGAGGAGACUGGAAUUACGGUGUAGCGGUGAAAUGCGUAGAUAUCGUAAGGAAGACCAGUGGCGGAAGGCGGGUCUCUGGACAGUCCUGACGCUGAGGCACGAAGGUCAGGGGAGCAAACGGG
rnacentral:rRNA from 1 species